CUACGGGUUGCUGCAGUGAGGAAUAUUGGGCAAUGGAGGCAACUCUGACCCAGCCAUGCCGCGUGCAGGAAGACGGCCCUCUGGGUUGUAAACUGCUUUUGUUUGGGAAUAAACCCUUCUACGUGUAGAAGGCUGAAGGUACCUUACGAAUAAGGAUCGGCUAACUCCGUGCCAGCAGCCGCGGUAAUACGGAGGAUCCAAGCGUUAUCCGGAUUUUUUGGGUUUAAAGGGUCCGUAGGCGGAUCUUUAAGUCAGUGGUGAAAGCCCACAGCUCAACUGUGGAACUGCCAUUGAUACUGGAGAUCUUGAGUGUAGUAGAAGUAGGCGGAAUAGGGCAUGUAGCGGUGAAAUGCAUAGAUAUGCCCUAGAACACCGAUUGCGAAGGCAGCUUACUAUGUUACAACUGACGCUGAGGGACGAAAGCGUGGGGAGCAAACAGGAUUAGAUACCCUUGUAGUC
rnacentral:rRNA from 1 species